rnacentral:rRNA from 1 species
GGGGGCUAGCGUUGUUCGGAUUUACUGGGCGUAAAGCGCACGUAGGCGGAUCGUUAAGUCGGGGGUGAAAUCCUGGAGCUCAACUCCAGAACUGCCUUCGAUACUGGCGAUCUUGAGUCCGGAAGAGGUGAGUGGAACUCCUAGUGUAGAGGUGGAAUUCGUAGAUAUUAGGAAGAACACCAGUGGCGAAGGCGGCUCACUGGUCCGGUACUGACGCUGAGGUGCGAAAGCGUGGGGAGCAA